CCUGAUUCAAGAGGAGAGGUGCAAUUCCUUACCGGUGGUAUAGUCCACAACUCCCAUAGCGGGACUGAUAUGGUGUAACUCCAUAACCGACGGUGAUAGUCCGGAUGGUAUUCGAAUCAAG
rnacentral:ncRNA from 2 species